UACGGAGGGAGCUAGCGUUGUUCGGAAUUACUGGGCGUAAAGCGCGCGUAGGCGGCUUUGUAAGUUAGAGGUGAAAGCCCGGGGCUCAACCCCGGAAUUGCCUUUAAGACUGCAUCGCUUGAAUCCGGGAGAGGUGAGUGGAAUUCUGAGUGUAGAGGUGAAAUUCGUAGAUAUUCGGAAGAACACCAGUGGCGAAGGCGGCUCACUGGACCGGUAUUGACGCUGAGGUGCGAAAGCCAGGGGAGCAAACGGG
rnacentral:rRNA from 1 species